AUGCGAGGAUUUGUAAACUGGAAGAAGGUCCAUGAUGGAAAGAAAUGUGCUUUCUUAAACCACAUAGGUUUUCAACCUUGCUCUGAACAUAAUAAUGCAACCAAAGCAUGCCAUGACUUCUUGAAUCAACAAGGCCAUUUAGAAAAUGUUGUAGCAGUGGGCAACCAGAGGGAUAUAAAAAGAAACUGGCUAAGGGUGAAAGUAUCAAUUGCAGCUGUUAAGUGGCUUAUAUCACAAUCUUGUGCAUUUAGAGGCCAUGAUGAAACUCGAGAGUCAAAGAACGGAGGGGACUUUAUUGAAUUGUUAAAGCUCUUUGUAGAAUUCAAUCCUGAGAUUGCUGAAAUUUUGGAGAAUGCUCCAUACAGUUGGAAGUACACAUCACAUGAAAUCCAACGAAAGAUUUUGGGUAUUUAUGCAUUGGAAGUUAGGAAGCAUAUCCGUGAAGAGAUCGGGGAUUCUAAGUUUUCUAUUCUAGUGGAUGAGACAUGUGAUGUAGUUAAAAGUGAGGUGAUGGCAUUGGUCCUCAGAUUUGUUGAUGAGGAUCGUGUAUUGCAAGAGCGGUUCUUUGCCUUGGUACAUGUGACGAACACCAAUUCCAUAGACACGUUACAAUAUUUUCAGUACAUUCUUCCUUUGAUACCUACGGGUUUGGAGACCCUCCCACAUGAACAAUCUGAAGAACACCGAUUAUGA
rnacentral:rRNA from 1 species